rnacentral:rRNA from 1 species
CUAUGCUCAGCCCUAAACCCCAGCAUCUAUUAACGAAGCUGUUCGCCAGAGAACUACCAGCAAAAGCUAAAAACUCAAAGGACUUGGCGGUGCUUCACACCCACCUAGAGGAGCCUGUCCAAUAAUCGAUAAACCCCGAUAAACCUCACCACCAUUUGCCUGCCCAGUCUAUAUACCGCCAUCUU